GCUGUGAUGGCCGAGUGGUUAAGGCGUUGGACUUGAAAUCCAAUGGGAUCUUCCCGCGCAAGUUCGAACCCUGCUGGCAGCG
rnacentral:tRNA from 1 species